rnacentral:rRNA from 1 species
UCGGGACUAGUGGCGGACGGGUGAGUAACGCGUGGGAACAUACCCAAAGGUAAGGAAUAGCCUCUGGAAACGGAGAGUAAUACCGUAUGUGCCCUUCGGGGGAAAGAUUUAUCGCCUUUGGAUUGGCCCGCGUUGGAUUAGGUAGUUGGUGGGGUAAUGGCCUACCAAGCCGACGAUCCAUAGCUGGUUUGAGAGGAUGAUCAGCCACACUGGGACUGAGACACGGCCCAGACUCCUACGGGAGGCAGCAGUGGGGAAUCUUAGACAAUGGGGGAAACCCUGAUCUAGCCAUGCCGCGUGAUCGAUGAAGGCCUUAGGGUUGUAAAGAUCUUUCAGAUGGGAAGAUAAUGACGGUACCAUCAGAAGAAGCCCCGGCUAACUCCGUGCCAGCAGCCGCGGUAAUACGGAGGGGGCUAGCGUUAUUCGGAAUUACUGGGCGUAAAGCGCACGUAGGCGGAUCAGAAAGUCAGAGGUGAAAUCCCAGGCUCAACCUUGGAACUGCCUUUGAAACUCCUGGUCUUGAAGUCGAGAGAGGUGAGUGGAAUUUCGA